GAUGAACGCUGGCGGCGUGCUUAACACAUGCAAGUCGAACGGAAAGGCCCCUUUGUGGGUACUCGAGUGGCGAACGGGUGCGUAACACGAAAGUAACCUGCCCUUGACUUCGGGAUUACUUCAGGAUACUGGGGCUAAUACCGGUAAGGAAUCCUUGCUGCAUGGGCGGGGUUGGAAAGCUUAGGCGGUUUUGGAUGGACUCGCGGUGUAACGGCUUGUUGGUGGGGUUGUGGCUUACCGAGCCUUUGUCGGGAGGCCGGCCUGUGUAGACGACCGGCCACAUUGAGGCCGAGAGACGGCAGAAACUGCUACGUGGGGCAACAGUGCGGAAUACUGCACAAUGGGCGGAAGCCUGAUGAAGCAAGGCCGCGGACGGGAUGACUGCCUUCGGGGUGUAGACCGCUUUCAGCAGUGGCUAAGCUUGUGGUGACGGUACCUGCAGAGGAAGCAACGGCUAACUACGUG
rnacentral:rRNA from 1 species